CACCAGCAGGUACUAAUGAUUCAAACACUGUCACUGCUCGAGCUUCUUUGCCUGCAAGGUAGGCAUGUGACUGUCGCUUUUGUACUAUCUGUGUGUGUGACUUAUAUGUUUUACCCUGGAUCUCAACGAUUCGGUGCAUGAAAUUUUGUUGCAUAGAGAAAAUUGAAAACAUACUCCUUGACUUUAUUCAAUUAGCUUUUCCAUGUUCCAAGCAACGUAAGAAAUUGAACGUUAAUGCAGCAGUCGUAUUUAGGACUACCACGGUUGCAACGAGUAACGAAGAAUCAGGGUUCGAUUUCGCAGAGGGAGCCUGAGAAACGACAACCACAUCGAAGGAAGGCAG
rnacentral:ncRNA from 1 species